rnacentral:pre_miRNA from 1 species
UAAUUUAUUUGAGUCAGAUUUCAUUUGUCUAUGAUAGACCCAUAUAUGACUGCUCAGAAUCGUCUGUUAUUGUAAGUCUGACUAUAUCAUUAAUAUUAAAAAACAAAAAACAACUACUAUGUAAAUAAUAA